CAGUCAGUCAGAUCCACUAUAGAC
rnacentral:piRNA from 1 species